UACGUAGGUGGCAAGCGUUGUCCGGAUUUACUGGGCGUAAAGCGCGCGUAGGCGGAUCGUUAAGUCGGGGGUGAAAUCCUGGAGCUCAACUCCAGAACUGCCUUUGAUACUGGCGAUCUUGAGUCCGGGAGAGGUGAGUGGAACUCCGAGUGUAGAGGUGAAAUUCGUAGAUAUUCGGAAGAACACCAGUGGCGAAGGCGGCUCACUGGCCCGGUACUGACGCUGAGGUGCGAAAGCGUGGGGAGCAAACAGG
rnacentral:rRNA from 1 species